UACAGAGGUCUCAAGCGUUGUUCGGAUUCAUUGGGCGUAAAGGGCUCGUAGGCGGCCAACUAAGUCGGACGUGAAAUCCCUCGGCUUAACCGGGGAACUGCGUCCGAUACUGGAUGGCUGGAGGUUGGGAGAGGGAUGCGGAAUUCCAGGUGUAGCGGUGAAAUGCGUAGAUAUCUGGAGGAACACCGGUGGCGAAGGCGGCAUCCUGGACCAAUUCUGACGCUGAGGAGCGAAAGCCAGGGGAGCAAACGGG
rnacentral:rRNA from 1 species